CCUACGGGAGGCAGCAGUGGGGAAUAUUGGGCAAUGGGCGCAAGCCUGACCCAGCAACGCCGCGUGAAGGAAGAAGGCUUUCGGGUUGUAAACUUCUUUUCUGAGGGACGAAGAAAGUGACGGUACCUCAGGAAUAAGCCACGGCUAACUACGUGCCAGCAGCCGCGGUAAUACGUAGGUGGCAAGCGUUAUCCGGAUUUAUUGGGUGUAAAGGGCGUGUAGGCGGGAAAGCAAGUCAGAUGUGAAAACUCAGGGCUCAACCCUGAGCCUGCAUUUGAAACUGUUUUUCUUGAGUGCUGGAGAGGCAAUCGGAAUUCCGGGUGUAGCGAUGAAAUGCGUAGAUAUACGGAGGAACACCAGUGGCGAAGGCGGAUUGCUGGACAGUAACUGACGCUGAUGCACGAAAGCGUGGGUAUCAAACAGGAUUAGAUACCCGAGUAGUC
rnacentral:rRNA from 1 species